rnacentral:rRNA from 1 species
UACGAAGGGUGCAAGCGUUAAUCGGAAUUACUGGGCGUAAAGGGUGCGUAGGCGGUUCGUUAAGUCUGUCGUGAAAUCCCCGAGCUCAACCUGGGAAUGGCGAUGGAUACUGGCGAGCUAGAGUGUGUCAGAGGAUGGUGGAAUUCCCGGUGUAGCGGUGAAAUGCGUAGAGAUCGGGAGGAACAUCAGUGGCGAAGGCGGCCAUCUGGGACAACACUGACGCUGAAGCACGAAAGCGUGGGGAGCAAACAGG